rnacentral:rRNA from 1 species
GACGAACGCUGGCGGCGUGCUUAACACAUGCAAGUCGAGCGGAGCGGCGAACGGGUGAGUAACGCGUGAGUAACUGCCCCCCUCUCUGGGAUAACAGUUGGAAACGGCUGCUAAUACCGGAUAGUGGGGGAUGACUCGCGUCCUAUCAGCUUGUUGGUGGGGUAGUGGCCUACCAAGGCGACGACGGGUAGCCGGCCUGAGAGGGCGACCGGCCACAUUGGGCUGAGAUGCUGCCCGAACGCCUACGGGAGGCAGCAGGGGGGAAUAUUGCACAAGGGGGGAAAAACUGAGGCAGCAUCGCCGCGUGCGGGAGGACGGAUUUGGGGUUGUAAGCCGCUUGCAGCCAUGACGCGGUAGUGGCAGAAGAAGCACCGGCUAACUACGUGCCAGCAGCCGCGGUAAUAC